UCCCUCGUGGCGCAAUUGGCUAGCGCGUUCGACUGUUAUACCUGCAGAAUAAUCGAGAGGUUGGUGGUUCGAGCCCACCCGAGGGAG